CAGAGUUGCAAACUCCCUAACCCUUGUGAACGUUACCUACCAGUUGCUUCGGCGGGCGGCCCGGUCCCCCCCCUGGGCCCCGCGGCCCCGCCGGAGGUCUACAAACUCUUGAUACUUUAUAGUCCUCUCUGAUUACUUCUUACUAAUAAGUA
rnacentral:misc_RNA from 1 species